CCUACGGGAGGCAGCAGUGAGGAAUAUUGGUCAAUGGGCGCGAGCCUGAACGAGCCAAGUAGCGUGAAGGAUGACUGUCCUACGGGUUGUAAACUUCGUUUAUAAAGGAAUAAAGUGAGGCACGUGUGACUUUUUGAAUGUACUUUAUGAAUAAGGAACGGCUAACUCCGUGUCAGCAGCCGCGGCAAUACGGAGGAUCAGAGCGUUAUCCGGAUUUUUUGGGGUUAAAGGGAGCGUAGAUGGGUUGGUAAGUCAGUUGUGAAAGUUUGCGGCUCAACCGUAAAAUUGCAAUUGAUACUGGCAGUCUUGAGUACAGUUGAGGUAGGCGGAAUUCGUGGUGUAGCGGUGAAAUGCUUAGAUAUCACGAAGAACUCCGAUUGCGAAGGCAGCUUACUAAACUGCCACUGACAUUGAUGCUCGAAAGUGUGGGGAUCAAACAGGAUUAGAUACCCCUGUAGUC
rnacentral:rRNA from 1 species